GACGAACGCUGGCGGCGUGCUUAAUACAUGCAAGUCAACUGAACUUGAGAUAGCAAUAUUUUAAGGGAGGUGGCGCACGGGUGAGUAACACGUAGGUAAUCUGCCUUUAGGUCUGACACAACCCCGAGAAAUCGGGCGUAAUAUCAGAUGAUGCAGCGGCUCGACAUCGAGACAGUUGUUAAACCUUCGGGCCGUAGAGAUGAGCCUGCGUCUGAUUAGGUAGUUGGCGGAGUAAAGACCCACCAAGCCUCGCGAUCAGUAGCUGGUCUGAGAGGAUGAUCAGCCACACUGGAACUGAGACACGGUCCAGACUCCUACGGGAGGCAGCAGUAAGGAAUAUUGCUCAAUGGCCGAAAGGCUGAAGCAGCAACGCCGCGUGGAGGAUGAAAUACUUUUGUAUGUAAACUCCUGUAAG
rnacentral:rRNA from 1 species